GGCCCAGCAUAGUAUAGUGGUUUGAGCACUGGAUUGUGACUCUGGAGCCCAGGAUUCAAAUUCCUGCUCAGCCA